rnacentral:rRNA from 1 species
AGAGUUUGAUCAUGGCUCAGGACGAACGCUUGCGGCGUGCCUAAGAAAUGCAAGUCGAACGGUGUAGCAAUACAUAGUGGCGAACGGUCGCGUAACACGUAAGCAACCUGCCCGAAAGUGGGGGACAACAUCCCGAAAGGGGUGCUAAUACCGCAUGUGGUUGUUUUCUCGCAUGAGAGAACAUCUAAAGCCUUGUGCGCUUUCGGAUGGGCUUGCGGCCUAUCAGGUAGAUGGUGGGGUAACGGCCUACCAUGCCUUUGACGGGUAGCUGGUCUGAGAGGAUGUCCAGCCGGAUUGGGACUGAGAUACGGCCCAGACUCCUACGGGAGGCAGCAGUAGGGAAUAUUGGGCAAUGGCGGAAACGCUGACCCAGCCAUGCCGCGUGCAGGAAGAAGGCCCUCUGGGUUGUAAACUGCUUUAGAGAGGGAAGAACCUGUUUCUUGCGAGAGACAUUGACGGUACCUCUAGAAUAAGCACCGGCUAACUACGUGCCAGCCGCCGCGGUAAUAC